AUUUGCACAUAGACAAAAUCGAUGAUGAAUGGGGAAAGCACCUACCCGAUUUAGACUACGCCAUCAUCUCGGACGGGCAUUGGUUUUUUCGAGUAUUAUACCUGUACAAAGGUAACAAACUUAUAGGAUGUGUCUAUUGCAACCAACCUAAUAUUACUCGCUUCAACACUGGCAACGCAGUUCGUAUGGCGUUUCGAUCUGCCUUUAAGUACAUUAGCACUUGCAAGAACUGCAAAGGGGGACUUCUGACCGUUUUGAGGACAUUUGCACCAGCACAUUUUGAGAAUGGGGCUUGGAAUACCGGAGGGUACUGCAAUAGGACAAGUCCCUUUGGUGAGGCAGAAGUUGAUUACAAGACGUUUGAUUGGGAAAUGAGGAACAUUCAGAUUAAGGAGAUAAAUGAUGCAAGAAGAAACAACAGGAAGCAGUUUAGGGUUUUGGAUAUAACUAGGGCCAUGUUGAUGAGACCAGACGGGCACCCUGGAAUUCAUUGGGGAAAUCAAUGGAUGAAGGGUUAUAGUGACUGUGUUCAUUGGUGCAUGCCAGGCCCGGUUGAUUACUGGAACAAUUUUUUGAUGGCACUUAUCAGAAAUUAAAGGAGCUAGAGGGAGAGGCUAAUUAGGUUCUUAAAUUGAGGAUACAGGUAAUUAGUUAGAGGUUAUACAUUAGAAUAAAAUGCCUACAGUUUCAUCUCAACGCCUACAAAUACUUUUUUCACUAAGGCUUAACAAUAGUUAGAGCUCAGAGAUAUAUAUAGAAUGUUUUGAACUAACCCAAAAGUUGAGAUGUCUCUAUUGUGAAUUUCCAGUGUAGAAAAUGCAGUGUGAAACUGUGAAUUACCAUUUGAUUUUUUUUUCUUAACUAAGUACUCAACCGUGAAAAUAACUUACACCUUAAGACAACCAACGUUGCCUCACUAGGAACCUUAGCGAUUCUUCAUUCUUCUUCUUCUUCUUCUUCUUCUUCUUCUUCUUCUUCUUCUUCUUCUUCUUCUUCUUCUUCUUCUUCUUCUUCUUCUCUNNNNNNNNNNNNNNNNNNNNNNNNNNNNNNNNNNNNNNNNNNNNNNNNNNNNNNNNNNNNNNNNNNNNNNNNNNNNNNNNNNNNNNNNNNNNNNNNNNNNNNNNNNNNNNNNNNNNNNNNNNNNNNNNNNNNNNNNNNNNNNNNNUUCGCACCUCCCCUGAUCUUUACAUCAAUCAUAAGGCUCUUCCUGAUUCUUACUAAUCACGGAAGUUUCAACAACUUAGCAUGUCAAUGCUCUUUAACAUGUCUUCAAAUGUGGCAUUGGGAAAUGAUUAACUAAAUCAUGCCGUAUUAUCCUCAAAUGAUCUUUUACACUUAGAUCUUGAGGAGAAGGCCGCUUAUGAACUCAAAAUAUAAGUUCGUGCAGCAAAUCAGAUUUCCGCACAGCAUGACCUUCAAUUACUAGAACAGUCGUAACUUCCUCUAGGAAAUACAUAUGAACAAACCGUAAACGGUUUUGGAAACUAGACUCAUUUAGCUUUCCAACCGUAUAUUACACACAUUCUGGUUCAUCAGGAGCUGUUCACAAAAUCCCGUCGAAGUUGACUGUUUUGUCAAAAUCAGAUUCUCGGACAGAUUCGUCAUACUUUACGAAAACGGCCAUAACUCACUCAAUAUGAUAAGUAUGAUCAAGUGGUUGGUGUCCCUGGAAAGUAGACACAUAGACCUUUCCAAUGGUACAAAUUUCACCAUUUUUCAGUGAGUGAGAUUUCCUGUAGGUCCCGUGGAAGUUGUCCUACGAAACUUGGCAGAUUCUGAUUUCACUUUUGAUGUGUAUUUCUUAUGUAGGGAUAGAAUAAGCCUCAACUUUUCAUACUAUUAAGUAUUAAAAAAAGGAGUUACUGCCAUUACAUUGGCGUUGUGUAGGCGCAUAGCUACACUUAGCUUGACAACUUUUCAUAGCGAAUGAGAUGUCAAGUCUUUCGUAUUGUGUUGAAUACAUUGAUGCGUCUUAUUGUACUUAGAUGAGAACUCCAUCUCUUAACACAUAUUUGUCAUCUUGCUUUAGACAAAACAACGGAUCUCUCUUUAGAGUAAAGACUUUGACUAAUCAUGGGAGUAUAUGUAGGCCUCACUUUCGUUAGAGCGCCUAAGCCGAUUGAUGAAAAAUUAUCAUCAAUACAGUCAUCGAGUGUCUUAUCGAGACCGUGUCUUCCCAAGAUCUUUUUCUUCGGAUAUUGGUACAUAUUGGCAUCUCUUGAUCCAUCAAGAGUCCAUGUAAAUCCGGAAUGAACACGCAAAGGCAUAAUUCACCAUAUCCCUUCCAAAUCAAGUAGAGUUCAUGUGCGUUCCAAUACCUUCAGCAAACGCAUGCUCUUGUGGUCUUGAGCCACUUGAUUCAAAUGAAUGAAGUUCGUUUAAGAUCUUCAUGUAUAUCUCUGAUCCCAUAGAGAUGUUAUUAUGACCACAUUCAUAGGCUGCAUGUUCAGUUAUUCGGAAACUACCAAACUGACAAAGUAGUGAAGUUCAAUGACAUCCAUUACGAGAGCAUAUCUCAUCGUAGUCGACCCAGUGCAUGUUAGUGAGAGACCUUGCGCCAUAAGGUGAGUCUAAGCUCUUGUUCUCACUACGCUAUCUAACAAAUGUAUAGUUGAUAGGGUUUAGCUUGCGGUGUCGGCAUCACCUACUCAAGGACCUAUCUCUUUGUUAAUGCUGGAUCGCAUCUUUCCAUUAGACCAAUCAACUAAGUUGAUAUCCAUCAACGAAGAGUGGUUCGAUAGUAGACUCAUUAUCUCACGUCCUCAUGUACACUAGUGUAAUACUUGUAGAGAUCUCUAUAUGGAUUGGAUUUGACAUUGAGGCGUCCCCCAACGAUAAUCACAAUUCAGAUUUCAUGAAACGGAUUUGAGUAUCAUUGAUUAAUGGAUCAGGUUGUGCCAAUCUCGCUUUCUUCCUAGUGCGAGAAAAUAUCGAACCUAAGGGCCUCCCUCCUUUUAGGGAGCCACACGGCCUUGUGACACCAAUUUUGCCACUAUAUGACGUCACCAUAUCACCAUCCAUGGUGAUGGGGUUAAGACCAACACCUUUUGGUCGUGCCAUGUCCUUUUGUAGGACAUCAAUCCUUGCAGACAUAUUUGCAGCAUGUGAUCUCGUCACUUUAACACUUUAAGCAUUUGGGAUUAAGAUGAGACUUAGUGGGGACAAACCACGACAAUUCACGUCGUUCCACUUGAACACUUGUGUUCUUAUCUCCCCCUAACGGCUGAAAUAUUGUCUCAUCAAAGUGACAAUCCGCAAUUUAGCGGUGAAUGAGAUCGCCUGACAAGGUUUCUACAUAUGCGGAUUAUAGGUGGAGGUUCAUAUCCAACCUAAACUUAUUCAUCUCAAAUGACCCAUCAUUGUACGCAGUGGCAAUGCGAUUUGGCACCUAGAAAUAACAUCUAGCUGAACUUAAGGAUUGGAGAUCCGUUUCAAUCCUGCCGAGCUCAAGGAUUGCAAUUUCGUGUCAAUCCUGGUACACAGUCACGAGCUGUAGUACAACAAAAUUCAAUGAUGGUGGGUCGUAGAUGAAUAGUAAAGCUNNNNNNNNNNNNNNNNNNNNNNNNNNNNNNNNNNNNNNNNNNNNNNNNNNNNNNNNNNNNNNNNNNNNNNNNNNNNNNNNNNNNNNNNNNNNNNNNNNNNNNNNNNNNNNNNNNNNNNNNNNNNNNNNNNNNNNNNNNNNNNNNNNNNNNNNNNNNNNNNNNNNNNNNNNNNNNNNNNNNNNNNNNNNNNNNNNNNNNNNNNNNNNNNNNNNNNNNNNNNNNNNNNNNNNNNNNNNNNNNNNNNNNNNNNNNNNNNNNNNNNNNNNNNNNNNNNNNNNNNNNNNNNNNNNNNNNNNNNNNNNNNNNNNNNNNNNNNNNNNNNNNNNNNNNNNNNNNNNNNNNNNNNNNNNNNNNNNNNNNNNNNNNNNNNNNNNNNNNNNNNNNNNNNNNNNNNNNNNNNNNNNNNNNNNNNNNNNNNNNNNNNNNNNNNNNNNNNNNNNNNNNNNNNNNNNNNNNNNNNNNNNNNNNNNNNNNNNNNNNNNNNNNNNNNNNNNNNNNNNNNNNNNNNNNNNNNNNNNNNNNNNNNNNNNNNNNNNNNNNNNNNNNNNNNNNNNNNNNNNNNNNNNNNNNNNNNNNNNNNNNNNNNNNNNNNNNNNNNNNNNNNNNNGGAAAGACCGGUGCACCUCAAUUGCUUGAGAAAUUGACCGGACGACCUCCAGGAAGUUAGAGUCGUGUUCGGGUGACGUCAAUGUCCCCCGGGUCACCACCAUGCUUCAUGGUGAUGCUAGAUCUCGAAUGUCUUCGUUUUGAGCGGAAGAAUGGAUGUCCAUGAGAAUUUCUCAAAAUUUGGACCAUUAUAUCUCUUCCAGGUUGACCAAUUUGGUCAAACCAAAGCCUAUAUGAGUCGGUGUCCCAAUUAUCAUGUUUGGCGACAACAUGAGAUUCGAUAUUCGAAUCGUAGUGACAUACAGUUCACUAGAUUGACUCAUGAAUUUCUCCAAGAUGCGCUUCAGUUCGCAUUCAUGAGGAGGUAUACACAAAAGAAUUCUUGUUCAUUCUCACAAUGUGUUUUCAAAUGAAAACCAUUAGCAUGAAUGUCUUUAAAACUUAACAUGGUUCCUUAGAAUGUUGUGGAUAGUUCCACUAUCUGCGAAGCACUCAAUGUCUCUAUGAGACAUAUCUACAAGGAGUAGAUAGGCGAGUAAAUAGUUCCACUUGAACCAUUUAGAAGGAUUGAAAGAAGCUACGAAAAGCUGCAAUCCCGAGAGUGCAUAAAAAUUUCCGCGCAGAAUGACCUUUGCGCACUAAAACAGCCAUAACUUCUUCGUUAAAAUAGAUAUGGACGAACCGUAAAAAGUUGUGAAAACUAGACUCGUAGAGCUUUCCAAUGAUAUAAAGCUCACUGUCUGGUUCGUCCGGAGCUGUUCACAAAGCUCAAACGAAGUUGACUGUCCAGAGAAGACAGAUUGCUGUUUUUCGCAGAUUUGGCAUGUGCGAAGCUGUGAAGCUUGCAGGUGGCGUGUAGGCUUUUUCCUUAGCCAAAAGUGACGUGUGUAUGAUCAAAACCAAGUCCUUUCGGUCGUUCUAAGGUCGUAAACUCCAUGCCUAGUUAGCAAAAGCUCCCUGACAUGAACAUAAACUAACUCAGAGGACCUAGAGGAUCCGAUCAUGAUGAUAAUUUUCCAGCUUUGAUAAGUCUUCAACGUCUUUUGCAAGACGGCAAUUGGUUUAAUAGCGUUGGGGGAUCCAAAAUCAAAAGCUUUCGGUAACUCCAAGUCAGUAUGACCAGACAUGUCCGUGGAGGGUCGGUAGUGCGAGGCACACUUAAAACCACUAUCUCCUUAAUUUUGGACAAUUCUAAGACAUCACACUGAGCUUGGAUGAUCCUAGUUGAACAAUUGAUGAUGAAAAAUCCGCUAUAGGGUAGAAGACUUAACCGGAAACACGUGGGCAAUCCUCCUUGAGGAUGCAGUGCCAUGAGUCACCUUCAAAGGAAGGGACCAAAAUCGGCACAAUAUGCCAUGUUUCUAAGGACGAUGUAAGUGUACAUCUUGAUUGUAAAUGGUGUCUAGACCGGGAGUGUCGCUAUUAGAGCCGGCAACAGCUCCCCCUCUUUUCUAGACAUCAGCACGACGUUUUCUGCCGUUGCCAUGACCUAUAUUGUUGUCCCCACAUUAGAGGAUAAUCCCUAAUAAGUUUAUCACAUUAGCGUAUAUACAAUUCCCGUUUGUAUGAUCAAAAUCAAGUCUCGUUGGUAAUUCCACACCAACUUGGAGGACCUAAAGAGCUUGAUGAUGAUCGAAUCCGCUAAAGAUUAUGGAUCAUGAUGCCACAAAAUAUCAUCUACAAUAUGUAGUCAAUUAAGGUGGUAAGCAAUCCACUUGACUAAUAACUCAACAAGUAGAGUUAUAUGAACGUUUCGAGAAACGCUCCAUGAGUGCAUUCCACAGUACUUUGUGGUCAUUACUNNNNNNNNNNNNNNNNNNNNAUAGAGGUCACAACGAUGCUUUAAUGGUUGUCCUUCGGAUUGAUCAUACACAAUCCGGAAAAGCCGCGAAUUGAUCAAACACAAUUCGGAAAAAGGCCUCGGAUUGAUCAAACACAAUCCGGUGAUAGGUCGGGGUUGAUCAUACACAACCCGGAUAAGGAAACAAGAGUGAUCAAACACACUCUUGACCCGCGAAUAAAAUUCCGGGAUUUUUGGUACCUGCACACACAAAAUCCCAAGCAUAGAAUGGAGAUGGAGAAGGGAGGAAAGGAUUUUAUCCUCCCCGAGUUAUUGAACUUGGAAAAGUUUAAGGUUUCAAAACAUACCUUUCUGGUUUCCUUGGAAGACGAGCAAUCUUGAAAUCUUUGGUUUCUAGAGGCUGCCGAGAGGAGAAACAACGUUUCGCCUACUUAUACUUCGAAUUUGGGGCUGAAAAUUUGACAGAAGGAGCAGCUCUGGAUGAGGAAGCUGCUGUCAAAAAUUCAGGUUGAUCGGAGCAAGGAAAGGUGGUGAACCGGUGAUCGGUAGCGGCGGCGGUCUGGAAUUUUCCGGUGGCCGGUUCGGAGACUUUCCGGCCGGUUCUCAGGGUGAGGCCGGCGGCGUUGGAUCCGAGACGGAGAGAGCUUUCUGGGGAUAUAAAAUUCCGGCGGAGGGCAGUCGGAAUUUUGGUCGGAAAUCGGAAAAAACAAUGCUGCCCGAUUUUAGGGUUUGGAAAACAAAUGGUGGGCUAUUGACUCUAGGGUUAGAACAAAGUGCAUGAUAACGUGAUGAAGGAGAAAGUGUAGAGACCAAGAGAUAGCAAGAGAAUCAUCAUCUUAUUCAUUGAUAGGAGCCCUUUAUAUAGGGAAUUACACAAUACUAAUAUGGUAAGGAUAUGAAUACAUAGAUCUAGUCUAACUACAUAUCCUAUUGACAUAAGACCACGACACACGUAGAGAAUAUCCUAACACACACAGUAUUAUGAGCUUAAAUAAACCACUCUUUAUACUUCAUAGCUAAUGGGCUAGUGGGCUGAUGGGCUUAUGGAAAUGUCAUCUGGGCUUGCUCUUCAUCUUAACACGCACCAGCUUCUUCUGCAUGUCAAUUUCCGUGAUGAAGACCAAUGCAACCUUCUUCUGUCAAUUUCCUAUAUCUGAUUAUCAUGUGAAACAGUAACAAACUUAUAUGGACGACCCGACUUUGCAUGACUUUUAGGUCGUCGAUCGAUCAAUUUAUGUCGUCCACAGAAAAAUCAGAAGAUCAAUAAUGGAGUUCUGCUAUUGACUCGUGGUAGGUUGACGCCAACUGUUUCAAUAAUUCAAUUUAUGUCGUCCAUAGUAAAAUCAGAAGAUCAAUCAUUUGUGUUUCAGAUCGGAAGAAAACUUUAAACAGAAGUUCAAUUAUUUCUAGAUAUAUGGUUGCAUUGCAUUGCAUCACUGAUAAUAUUGCACACAGCUCUCUCCUCUCUUGUUUUCUAGUUUCUAUUGAAGAGAGCUGGUUAUUGAAAGCUAGAGUACUAGCUAGUCUGCAACACUACAUCUGCAUCAUGGAAAACUUAGUUCUCGAAAAAGCAUUCGAAGUACUGUGUGCUGGAGUUCAGGAUCUGAUUGUCAAGAAUUUCAUUUUCAAGUCUCUCCUCAACGACGCCAAAUCCAGACUCGACGAUUUGGCACCACUGAUCAAGAAGCUGGCGGAUUAUAACCAGGUAAUGGGUGGCCAAGAGAAGGAACUGGAAGCUCUAAAGGGAGUCCUGGCAAAGGGCCAACAGCUCGUCGACAAGUGCUCAACCAUUACACGAUGGAGCCCCUUCAAAAAGUACAAGUACGCCAGACAAAUUCUCCAGUGGGAAAAAUCUCUGAAAAGCCCGUUGAAGAGUGUGAAGCUGCAAGAAGCAGUGAAUGUAAUGGACAUGAGGAUCGAUAUGCAACGCAUGAUGCUGAAACAACAACAUUCUGGAGAAAGUUCGAGUACUAGAACACGACUUGAACUUCCACCACUUCCACGGCUUAUAGUUGGACUGGAUGCUCCUAUGAAAGACUUGAAGGAGAAGCUACUUUGCGAUGAUGGGGAGUCAAUGCUUGUGCUCACUGCUCCUGGAGGCUGCGGGAAAACUACUUUGGCCACAAUGUUUUGUAAAGAUGAAGAGGUCAAAGGUAACAUACACGACUCGAUCGAUUUAGCCUUACAUAUGCACAAAAUCUAUUAGUCACUUUUUAACAUAUUUUGUCUAUUCAUUUAUUUAAUUCUAAUUCAUCAUAACGUACUAUGAUUGUGUAUUAUUUGGUAUAGGUAAAUUCAAGAACAAUAUUCUCUUUAUUCCUGUAUCCCAAAAUGGCAAUUUGGAACUUGUUGUGAAACGACUUUGUAAAUACCUGGGUUCUCCGGUUCGUAGUUUUCAAAACGAAAUACAUAUGCUUCAAUGGAUCGAAACAUUUAGAAAGGAAAGAUCAGAUCCUCUAUUAUUGGUCCUCGAUGAUAUUUGGUCUGGACAAGAAUCCAUUCUUGAGAGCUUUCAAUUUGAAAUGUCAAAUUUCAAGAUUUUAGUGACAUCAAGAUCUGAAUUUCCAAGAUUUAGUUCUGUAUAUCAGUUAAAGUUAUUGGAUGAUGACAACGCCAUGAAACUCUUUUAUCACUCGACAUCAUUGGGAGAUAAGCGCUCUUCUCGUACUAUAGAAGAUAUCUCAAGAAAGGUAACAUGAUAUAUAUCAACUAUAUAUUUUCUUCUCUUCAUAAAUUCUUCAAAUAGCAACUAAUGGAUUUCACCUUGAACUUCAUGGCUUGCAGAUAGUAAAGCGUUGCAACGGAUUUCCACUUGCUAUUACAGUUGUGGGAAGAUCACUUGCUGGGCAGCCUUUAGAGGUUUGGCGAAGAAGAGAGUCGGAAUGGUCUAAGGGUUCUUCAAUUUUAGAUUCUGAGACGAAAUUGUUUCUUUGCCUCCAAAGCAGCUUAGAUGCUCUUGAUAAAGGAUUUACAACUGUGAAAGAUUGUUACUUAGACCUGGGAUCUUUUCCUGAAGACUACAAAAUCCCGGUUGGUGUCCUUAUUGAUAUGUGGGCAGAGUUGUAGGAUCUAGAUGAUGAUAUUGUGUUUGCAUAUGUUCAUGAACUAUGCAAUCGAAAUCUGGCUACCCUUGUAGACGAAAGGUAACUACGUCUUAUAUUAUUAUGUUUUGACUCCAACACUAUUCUUUUGUAUUGAAAAUGAGUGAAUUGAUUAAUCAAAUAUUAAACAUAAUUAAGCAGAGAUGAUGAUUUGAAGAUGGAGGGGGACGAUUACUACGGUAAACGGUUUGUUACACAACAUGACUUGCUUAGAGAGCUAGGUAUUUACAACGCUAAGAUAGACCCGGUAGAUCAAAGAAAAAGAAUCAUGUUAGAAAUUUGUGGAAACAAUAUUCCCCAGUGGUGGAAGGAACAGAAAUAUCAACCAACCAAGACUCGCUUGUUAUCCAUCACAGCUGGUACAUAUUUCAUAUUUCUUUAUCACAUCUGGCAAAUUAUCAACAUUUGAUUUGUUUUUUUUGUUUUGUUUUUGAAAAUGUUACUUCACAGAAGAGGGCGAAUGAUACAUCAUUUGAUUUACUGAGAUGUGAAUGUAUACUAGAAAUCUAGAAUUCACAUUUGUUUUUUCUCGACACUCAUCAAAUAGCAUGUUGAUUGCAGAUGGAGAAUUUUCAAUGAAAUGGCCCCAGAUUCAACUACCUGAAGCAGAGGUUCUUGUCUUGAAUUUCGAUACAUACCCCUCAUAUCCCUUACCCGAAUUUGUGGAGAAAAUGGAUAAACUGAAGGUAGUGGUAAUCUUUUCUCGCAAUGGCCUUUGUAAUUUAAAAAAUCUAGAACUGCUCCAUCUCCUACCAAAUCUCAAAAGAAUCAGCUUGCAUAGCAUCGCAAUAGAUAGCAUAAGAAAGAAUCCCAUUAAACUGAAGGGUUUGAAGAAGAUAUCUUUAAGCUCAUGUCACCCAAUGGCAUGUUUCAGCAAAGGUGUUGGCAAAAUGUCGGAUGCAUUUCCAAAUCUAGAGGAAUUAAACAUUGACCGUUGUGGUGAGCCUGAAGAGUUGCUUGCGGAUUUCUUUAAUGUGAUUCAUUUAAAGAAAAUCAGUAUCUUUAACUGUUGGGAUUUACGUAGUUUGCCUGAAAAAAUUGGAAAUUUAGUCAACUUGGAAGUACUGAGGCUAAGGGUAUGUGGUAACCUUUUAAAGUUUACUGGCUCAGUUAGAAACCUCAAAAAGUUAAAUUUCCUCGACUUGUCUGGUUGUUACCACAUUCAGUUGCCUGAAGACAUUGGUGAACUGAGCAGUUUAAGGAAGUUGGACUUGAGGAGAUGCUACAAAAUGUGGAAGCUGCCACCAUCAGUUUCCGAUCUUGAUCAGUUAGAGGAAGUGAGAUGCCUUGAUUUUAGAGUCGGUUUAUGGGAAGCCUUUCUACCCACUCUCACAAACCUACGCAUAGUGGGGAUUCCUUGAACCUGAUCAGGUUAGUUGGAAACUAUCGGACGGCUGGAUCAACGUUUUCGGGAUUUGCUUCGAAUUAUCAUUUUCAUUCUUCGUCUCCCUGUUCUCUUGUUAGAAACCAUAUUGUGUUUCUUGGAUGGUUUUUGCAUUUUAAGUGUGUAUGAUGAUAUAUAAUGCAUAUAAAAAGAGGAGUCCUCAAUUAGCAAUCCGCACUCUCCUAAUUGAGCCAACUCUUAAACAGGUCUGGCGGCAUGACGGGUUAGUUGGAGUGUGUCGAUAUUUCAAACGAAGUUUCAUGCAAUUAUGCCCGCAGCAACGACCUGCUAUAGCCACCCAGUUCAUGACAGACAUUUUUACUUGAAACCGAAAACUAGUCAGCACUUUUGAAAAGAACUAUGGAAAGCCUAGUUUGUAGCCAUGUAUAAUCAUAAUCCAAUACGCAUAGAGCUUCAUUCCUAAAAAUAAAUCUUAGUAGUAACUACAAAAAUAUUACACACAGUGCAUCACAUAAUCAGGUAACCAAAAACACGUCUAUCCUAUAUUAGAUGAUACAAACUGCCGACAACCUAGUACCGUUCUAUCCUAUACUCUGCAUCAAAAACAAGCAGGAGACCAAGUCUCGUAUGUAUAAUUGUAAACUUGAUAUGGACAUAUCAUUGAAGUUCUUAAGGUAAACAGCAACUUACCAUUUACUAGCAGAAUAAGUAAUGGGAAAUCAUGUAAUUGGAAUUCCGGAUUAACUUAUACACAAUGUAUCAAAUGCAUAAGUUAGGGAUCUGAAUUGUAUAAUGAUUGAUCUAAUUGGACUCUAAUUGAGUUGAUUAAGCUAACAUGUGGGGCGAGGCCUUGAAAACAGCAAACUACCUCACAAAUAGAACACCUAGCAAACAUGUUAGCCUUGAUCCAUUGAUUACAAAACUCAACACACAAGAUAAAUAGAUACAAUAGAAUCAAGCAAAACAUAACACAACUAAGUAAAUAUACUAACUAGAGUUCUUAAGCGAAUUCACCAAACCUGAACUAGAGGCCAUUGAUAUUCCAAACUCCGAUCUUCUACACAACAUUCUAUUCAAUAUCUGUAUGGGACUAGACUUUUAGCAACUGGUGAAUCGAGUGUGUGUAGGGACCAGGUUUAUAUAGGAUUCAACUAAGGCUUAGGCUCCUCCCAUAAAGGAAACUAAUUAGUAAUAGAAUCACAUAUAUCCUUAAUUUGUAUAUCAUUUAUAUCAUUGAUCAAUCAACUCAAUUAGAGUCCAAUUAGAUCAAUCAUUAUACAAUUCAGAUCCCUAACUUAUGCAUUUGAUACAUUGUGUAUAAGUUAAUCCGGAAUUCCAAUUACAUGAUUUCCCAUUACUUAUUCUGCUAGUAAAUGGUAAGUUGCUAUUUACCUUAAGAACUUCAAUGAUAUGUCCAUAUCAAGUUUACAUUCUCCCACUUGGACAUAUCAUGGAGUUCAUGCAGCAAGAAUACCAAAAUAUCAGAUAUAGUAAUUAGUUCUUUAGUGCACAUGUGGAAAUCAAGAAUAGAACAAAAUCUGAUACAAGGUUUUGUCAAUCUACAGCCAAAACAUAGAGCUAUGAAAGAACCUCACCUCAACAGAAGAGAGGACUUGCAUAACUACUAAUGAGCCAACUGCAAAUCACAUGAACCACCAACUAUGAUAUACCUGUAAUAGCAUUAAGUUUCCAGAAUGUAUCAACUUAUGUCUUAAUGCCAUGGUCCUCAAGAAACACAAAAUCUUUAAUCAAAAUAUGCUUUAUGUGUUUCUCAACUUUAUUUUUCCGUAGAAGUACUUCACAUUGUUUCAUCAAUACAAAACAAUCAAAACCUGUCAAGUAGCUACUGUAUGUAUACAUAAGGAUCCAACACAUUACUCAAAUGAAAAUAAAACAAUAUUCAAAUGAGCAAUCCAAAAGCUGUAGCAGAUCAAGACCAACUGAAUUAAACUGAACUUUUAUUUCAUAUAGUUUGAACAUCAUGAUCGACAUCCAUGUAGUUCAAAACUUUAUUGCAAAGCAUAGAGCAAAAGUACAAAUCAGAAAUAAAAGAAACAAUGGUAACUCCCACUAUUUUCAACAAUCAAAAUUAGCCAAAACUCCAAUGCUGGCAGCAUGCUUAUUAAAGGGAACAUUUGGUAAGGCCUUAGUGAAGGGGUCUGCUAACUGAAAUAGAGUGCCAAUGUUUACAACAUCUACCUCUUUACAUUUCACUCUCUGUCUAACACUAAAAUACUUUAAAUCAAUGUGCUUGGAAUUUGUAGACCUCUUGUUAUUUUUAGUGAAAUACACAGCAGCUGUAUUGUCACAAAAAAUCUUCAAGGGCCUAGAAACUAUAGAAUCUAGAACCUUGGUCUCUAAAAGAAAGUUCCUGAGCCAAAGACCUUGGCACAAACCCUCAUAGAUCGCAAUGUACUCAGCUUGCAUUGUUGAUGUUGCUAUCAGGCCUUGCUUCACACUUUUCCAAGCUAUUGCUCCUCCAGCAAGAACAAAAACAUACCCUGAAGUGGAUUUGUUUGAAUCUGGAUAAUUUCCAGCAAAGUCAGAAUCUGUGUACCCUGUGAGUUCUAAGUCUUCAACUCUUCUAUAAACCAACAUGUGACUCUUUGUUUUCUGCAAAUACCUGAGGACCUUCUUUGCAGCAAUCCAGUGAGCCAUUCCCGGAUUAGACUGAAACCUAGCCAACAUCCCAACAACAAAAGCGAUAUCAGGUCUAGUGCAUACUUGUGCAUACAUUAAACUGCCAACAACUCCAGAGUAAGGCUUGUUCUUCAUUUCUUGUUUUUCAAAGUCUGAUAUUGGUGAGUCAAGUUUAGCUAACUUAUCACCCUUGUUCAUUGGCACAUCAUUUCCAGAACAAUUCUGCAUGUGAAACUUCUUCAAAACUCCUGUUAUAUAACUCUGUUGAGAUAAACCAAGCAAGCGUCUCUUCCUAUCCCUUUUUAUCUCAAUCCCUAACACAUAUGAAGCUUCACCAAGGUCUUUCAUGUCAAAAUUCAUUGACAGAAAUUUCUUGGUCUCAUUCAAAAGAGCAAGAUUGCUGCUUGCCAACAAUAUAUCAUCGACAUACAACACCAGAAAAAUAAAUUGGCUCCCACUGAUCUUCAUGUACACACACUCAUCAGCCAUAUUCUCAACAAAACCAAAAGAACUAAUGACAGAGUUAAAUUUCAAGAACCUAUUGUCUUGAGGCCUGUUUCAAUCCAUAAAUGGUAUUUGUUUAACUUGCACACCAGAUGCUCAGUCCCAGGUGACAAUAAAACCUUCUAAGUUGUUUCAUGUAUAUAUUCUCCUCUAAAUCACCAUUUAGGAAGGCAGUCUUCACAUCCAUUUGGUGCAGCUCCAUGUCAAAAUGAGCCACAAAAGCCAUGAUUAAUCUAAAAGCAUCUUUGCUUGAAACAGGUGAAAAAGUCUCAUUGUAAUCAAUUCCCUCCUUCUGUGUAAAACCCUUGGCAACUAAUCUUGCCGUGUACCUCUCAACUGUUCCAUCUGCACGUUUUUUAGUCUUGAAUACCCACUUGCAGCCAAUUGCCUUGUGCUUUCCAGCUGGUUCAACUAACUCCCACACAUUAUUUUCACUCAUGGAUUUCAUCUCUGCCUCCAUUGCUUCUCCCCACUCCUGGGCUUUUUCACUUUGUAAUGCUUCUCUAUAGCUGAGUGGAUCGUCAUCUUCUCCAAAGUCAAUCUCAGCUUCUUGCAAAUAAACAACAAAGUCAUCUGUGUUUAUUGCACUUCUUCUCACUCUUUCAGAUCUUCAAGUAGCAAAGUGACACAGAAACCAAAUCUAAGAACUAUUCCUCGACGAAAACACUAAUCACCCCAGCACACGAAUCAGAUAUCUGGGUUCUGUUUGCUUGUGUAGCUAACUUGAUAUCUCCACACAAGGACAUGUGUGGAAUUGCAAAGGGGGACUUCUGACCAUUUUGAGGACAUUUGCACCGGCACAUUUUGAGGAUGGGGCUUGGAACACCGGAGGGUACUGCAAUAGGACAAGUCCCUUCAGGCCGGGAGGCAGAAGUUGAUUUUAAGAAGUUUGAUUGGGAAAUGAGGAACAUUCAGAUUAAGGAGAUUGAAGGAGCAAGAAGAAACAACAGGAAGCAGUUUAGGGUUUUGGAUAUAACUAGGGCCAUGUUGAUGAGACCAGACGGGCACCCUGGAAUUCAUUGGGGAAAUCAAUGGAUGAAGGGUUAUAGUGACUGUGUUCAUUGGUGCAUGCCAGGCCCGGUUGAUUACUGGAACAAUUUUUUGGUGGCACUUAUCAGAAAUUAAAGGAGCUAGAGGGAAAGCUAAUUAGGUUCUUAAAUUGAGGAUAUAGGUAAUUAGUUAGAUGUUAUACAUUAGAAUAAAAUGCCUACAGUUUCAUCUCAAUGCCUACAAAUACUAUUUUCACUAAGGCUUAACAAUAGUUAGAGCUCAGAGAUACACUGUGAAUUUCCAGUGUAGAAAAUGCAGUGUGAUACUGUGAAUUGCCAUUUGAUUUUUUUUUUCUUAACUAAGUACGCAACCGUGAAAAUAACUUACACCUUAAGACAACCAACGUUGCCUCACUAGGAACCUUAGCGAUUCUUCAUUCUUCUUCUUCUUCUUCUUCACAGCGCACUGCUAAAAACCAAGAUCAUCAAGGUAAUUAAAAUUGUAACGGCUAAGCUACUGUAACAAACCCAAACAUGGAGAAGAUGAAGAGCAGAGAGAAAAAGAAAAUGAAGGUAGAAUUCUGGUAUUGAUAAGAAAUAUUUACACACAGUAUUAUCAGCUUAAAUAAACCACUUUUUAUACUUCAUAGCUAAUGGGCUAGUGGGCUGAUGGGCUUAUGGAAAUGUCAUCUGGGCUUACUCUUCAUCUUAACACGCACCAGCUUCUUCUGUCAAUUUCCGUAACGAAGACCAAUGCAACCUUCUUCUGUCAAUUUCCAUCAACAUUAUAUGGACGACCCGACUUUGCAUGACUUUCAGGUCGUCGAUCGAUCAAUUUAUGUCUUCCACAGAAAAAUCAGAAGAUCAAUAAUGGAGUUCAAUUAUUUCUAUAUAUAUGGCUGCAUUGCAUUGCAUCACUGAUAAUAUUGCACACAGCUCUCUCUCUCUUGUUUUCUAGUUUCUAUUGAAGAGAGCUGGUUAUUGAAAGCUAGAGUACUAGCUAGUCUGCAGCACUACAUCUGCAUCAUGGAAAACUUAGUUCUCGAUAAAGCAUUCGAAGUACUGUGUGCGGGAGUUCAGGAUCUGAUUGUCAAGAAUUUCAUUUUCAAGUCUCUCCUCAACGACGCCAAAUCCAGACUCGACGAUUUGGCACCACUGAUCAAGAAGCUGGCGCAUUAGAACCAGAUAAUGGAUGGCCAAGAGAAAGAACUGGAGGCUCUAAAGGGAGUCAUGGCGAAGGGCCAAGAGCUCGUCGACAAGUGCUCAACCAUUACACGAUGGAGCCCCUUCAAAAAGUACAAGUACGCCAGACAAAUUCUCCAGUGGGAAAAAUCUCUGAAAAGCCCGUUGAAGAGUGUGAAGCUGCAAGAAGCAGUGAAUGUAAUGGACAUGAGGAUCGAUAUGCAACGCAUGAUGCUGAAACAACAACAUUCUGGAGAAAGUUCGAGUACUAGAACACGACUUGAACUUCCACCACUUCCACGGCUUAUAGUUGGACUGGAUGCUCCUAUGAAAGACUUGAAGGAGAAGCUACUUUGCGAUGAUGGGGAGUCAAUGCUUGUGCUCACUGCUCCUGGAGGCUGUGGGAAAACUACUUUGGCCACAAUGUUUUGUAAAGAUGAAGAGGUCAAAGGUAACAUACACGACUCGAUCGAUAAGCUGAAAUAUAUAGAUAUAUAGGGCCCUUCCAAUGAGGGAUCCCUUUUUUUGACAUAUAUGAGGGAUGGGGGAUUACACCAACUUUUUUAUCACAAAAUCACAUCUCCACCGUUCAAUAUGUAGUUCUAUAUGAGUAGAUCACUUUUGCAAAUUUUCAGAAAUUUUGGUGAUCGUUAAGGCAUUCAAAACUACGAUUUUUAAUUAUAAGCAUGAACGGUUCAGGUCUGGCAGAUUUGGUUCGUUCAUUGAUUUAAUCUUGUUCGACAUCUUAACGAUCACCAAAUUAGCUGAAAAUUUACAGAAUUGAUCUAUAUAUAAGGACCAACAAACUGAACAGUAGAGAUUCAAAAAUAUAAUCGAAAAGUUGGUGUAAUCUCCCAUCCCUCAUAUAUGUCAAAAAAAGGGAUCCCUCAUUGGAAGGGCGGAUGUCCGCAUUUGUUUUUACGGUGCGGAUUUCCAUAUUACACUCACUUUUCAAUCGAAUUUUCACAUCUCCACCGUAUAGUCUUUAGAUACUAAUGUAUAGAUCAUCUCUGUAAAAUUUCAGUCAAUUUGGUUAUCAUUAAGGCACUCAAACUCGAUCAAAACCAAUAGAUGAACAUAAAUAUGUCGAACUUGAACCGUUCAUGUUUAUAACAGAUAAACGCAAUUUUGAGUACCUUAAUGAUAACCAAAUUGGCUGAAAUUUUGCUGGGAUGAUCUAUACAUUAGUAUCUAAAUACUAAACGGUGAAGAUGUGAAAAUUCGAUUGAAAAGUGAGUGUAAAGUGGAAAUUUGCACCAUAAGAAUAAAUACGGACGUUUGUAGUUGAGAAGCUCUGAUAUAUAUGUCGAUUUUGUCUAUUCAUUUAUCUAAUUCUAAUUCAUCAUAACGUACUACGAUUGUGUAUUAUUUGGUAUAGGUAAAUUCAAGAACAAUAUUGUCUUCAUUACUGUAUCCCAAAUUGGCAAUGUGGAACUUGUUGUGAAACGACUUUGUGAAUACGUGGGUUCUCCGGUUCCUAGUUUUCAAAACGAAAUACAUAUGCUUCAAUGGAUCGAAACAUUUAGAAAGGAAAGAUCAGAUCCUCUAUUAUUGGUCCUCGAUGAUAUUUGGUCUGGACAAGAAUCCAUUCUUGAGAGCUUUCAAUUUGAAAUGUCAAAUUUCAAGAUUUUAGUGACAUCAAGAUCUGAAUUUCCAAGAUUUAGUUCUGUAUAUCAGUUAAAGUUAUUGGAUGAUGACAACGCCAUGAAACUCUUUUAUCACUCGACAUCAUUGGGAGAUAAGCGCUCUUCUCGUACUAUAGAAGAUAUCUCAAGAAAGGUAACAUGAUAUAUAUCAACUAUAUAUUUUCUUCUCUUCAUAAAUUCUUCAAAUGCAACUAAUGGAUUUCACCUUGAACUUCAUGGCUUGCAGAUAGUAAAGCGUUGCAACGGAUUUCCACUUGCUAUUACAGUUGUGGGAAGAUCACUUGCUGGGCAGCCUUUAGAGGUUUGGCGAAGAAGAGAGUCGGAAUGGUCUAAGGGUUCUUCAAUUUUAGAUUCUGAGACGAAAUUGUUUCUUUGCCUCCAAAGCAGCUUAGAUGCUCUUGAUAAAGGAUUUACAACUGUGAAAGAUUGUUACUUAGACCUGGGAUCUUUUCCUGAAGACUACAAAAUCCCGGUUGGUGUCCUUAUUGAUAUGUGGGCAGAGUUGUAGGAUCUAGAUGAUGAUAUUGUGUUUGCAUAUGUUCAUGAACUAUGCAAUCGAAAUCUGGCUACCCUUGUAGACGAAAGGUAACUACGUCUUAUAUUAUAUGUUUGACUCAACACUAUUCUUUUGUAUUGAAAAUGAGUGAAUUGAUUAAUCAAAUAUUAAACAUAAUUAAGCAGAGAUGAUGAUUUGAAGAUGGAGGGGGACGAUUACUACGGUAAACGGUUUGUUACACAACAUGACUUGCUUAGAGAGCUAGGUAUUUACAACGCUAAGAUAGACCCGGUAGAUCAAAGAAAAAGAAUCAUGUUAGAAAUUUGUGGAAACAAUAUUCCCCAGUGGUGGAAGGAACAGAAAUAUCAACCAACCAAGACUCGCUUGUUAUCCAUCACAGCUGGUACAUAUUUCAUAUUUCUUUAUCACAUCUGGCAAAUUAUCAACAUUUGAUUGUUUUUUUUGUUUUGUUUUUGAAAAUGUUACUUCACUGAAGAGGGCGAAUGAUACAUCAUUUGAUUUACUGAGAUGUGAAUGUAUACUAGAAAUCUAGAAUUCACAUUUAUUUUUUCUCGACACUCAUCAAAUAGCAUGUUGAUUGCAGAUGGAGAAUUCUCAAUGAAAUGGCCCCAGAUUCAACUACCAGAAGCAGAGGUUCUUGUCUUGAAUUUUAAUAAAUACAGAUAUGCCAGAUAUGCCAUACCCGAAUUUGUGGAGAAAAUGGAUAAACUGAAGGUAGUGGUAAUCUUUUGUCGCACUAGCCUUUGUGAGAUAACAAAUCCAGAACUGCUGCAACUUCUACCAAAUCUAAAAAGAAUCAGCUUGCAUUACAUCCCAAUAAAUAGCAUAAGAAAGACUCGCAUUCAACUGAAGAGUUUGAAGAAGAUAUCUUUACGCUCAUGUUACCCAGUCGCAUAUUUCAGCAAAGGUGUUGGCAAAAUGUCGGAUGCAUUUCCAAAUCUAGAGGAAUUAAACAUGGACAGUUGCAAUGGGCCUGAAGAGUUUCUUGCGGAUUUUUUUGAAGUGAUUCAUUUAAAGAAAAUCAGUGUCUUUGACUGUUCGCAGUUACGUAGUUUGCCUGAAGGAAUUGGAAAAUUAGUCAACUUGGAAGUACUGAGGCUAAGGGAAUGCGGUAACCUUUCAAAGUUUACUGGCUCAGUUAGGAACCUCAAAAAGUUAAAUUUCCUUGACAUGUCUGGUUGUCACAACAUUCAGUUGCCUAAAGACAUUGGUGAACUGUGCAGUUUAAGGAAGUUGGACCUGAGGAGGUGCUACAAAGUGCAGAAGCUGCCAUCAUCAGUUGCAGAUCUUGAUCAGUAAAAGGAAGUGAGAUGCGAUGAAUUUAGAGUCGAUUUAUGGGAAGCCUUUCUACCCACUCUCACAAACCUACGCAUAGUGGGGAUUCCUUGGACCUGAUCAGGUUAGUUGGAAACUAUCGGACGGCUGGAUCAACGUUUUUGGGAUUUGCUUCGAAUGAUCAUUUUCAUUCUUCGUCUCCCUGUUCUCUUUUUAGAAACAAUAUUGUGUUUCUUGGAUGGUUUUGCAUUUUAAGUGUGUAUGAUGAUAUAAUGCAUAUAAAAAGAGGAGUCCUCAAUUAGCAAUCCGCACUCUCCUAAUUGAGCCAACUCUUAAACAGGUCUGGCCGCAUGAUGGGUUAGUUGGACUGUGUCAAUAUUUGCAAAUGAAGUUUCAUGCAAUUAAGCUCGCAGCAACGACCUGCUUUAGCCACCAAGUUCAUGACAGACAUUUUUACUUUGAAACCGAAAACCAGUCGGCACUUUUGAAAACAACCGUGGAAAGCCUAGUUUGUAGCCAUGUAUAAUCCUAAACCAAUACUCAUAGAGCGAGCUUCAUUCCUAGAAAAUAAAUCUUAGUAGUAACUACAAAAAUAUUACACACAGUGCAUCACAUAUCAGGUAACCAAAAACACGUCUAUCAUAUAUUAGAUGAUACAUACUGCCGACAACCUAGUACCGUUCUAUCCUAUACUCUGCAUCAAAAAUAAGCAGGAGACCAAGUCUCGUAUGUAUAUUAAGUAGCAAAGUGACACAGAAACCAAAUCUAACAACUAUUCCUCGACGAAACACUAAACACCCCAGCACACAAAUCAGAUAUCUGGGUUCUGUUUGCUUGUGUAGCUAAUUUGAUAUCUCCACACAAGGGCAUGCUUCAGGUAAAAUGAUACUCAACUCAUUUAUGGAAGCCAGGAUAUAUAACUUGAACACAGUUGAUCACUUCACAAUAAAUUCAUAUCUUUCAAGAGUAGGUGGUAUAAAAUUGUUGGUAUAUGUUUUAGUUGGCAUUCCUAUAUCAAAACAAAUUGGACUUUAUUGUUAUAUAUCUCUUUGUUGAAAAAAAUAUUAUUGCAGGUGAUACUAGUCCUUUUUGGUGCGUGUGACUCAUGAAGACAAAGUCCUAAGUUAGGAUUUGUAUUCAUUGAUAUAUGAUUUUCUGAUGAUUCAUCUAAUUGGGUAUAUUUCCCCAUGUUAAGAGUAAAUGACCAUUUACUACUAAUUUAACAUCUUUUUAGCCUAUUCCAAUAAAAAUCUAUUCAGCAACCCAAUUCCAAUGAAUUCUAACAAAAAGACGUCAAUACCCUCACCCUAACUUUAACUCUCUUUUCCUCUUUUUCCNNNNNNNNNNNNNNNNNNNNAUCCGCCUAAUCCCCGCCUCGUCCUCGUCGGUCGCUGCAACACUAUGAGUCUGAAGAGCAGCGUCAAAUCUAGAUCUGGUCACGUCGUCUACACGCUGGCGCUAGGAAACGUCGAUGCGAGCCAAGCUCACGGAGAUCCGUCACGCUCUGCUGUCGUCUCCGAUCAGAGGUGGUCGUCCUAGCUUAGCCACACAACGUCUUCGCCUCUGCCUUUGGUUUCAGACUCCUACGCUGACGCCGUCAAGAGCAGUUAGAUACGUUUUGGCGUUGAUAUAUAUGGAAUAAUUAAGAUUCUUACUAACGGUAGUAAUAUUUCAUAGCAUCUUAUUUUUGUGUUCUGCACCCAAAAUAUAAAAAUUACUAGGGGUAGUAAUUUUCUAUUAUUUUUUUGUGUGUUGAUUUUUUUCUUGAGAUAAUAGAUUGCAAGUUUACUACCCCCAGUAAAAGUUUAAUAGAGGUAGUAAACUUUAUUUUUUUGCAUCUAAGUUGUUCUUCCUUUGUUUUAGUCUGUAUUAUGGCCUUGAAAAUAUUGUUUUGUAAGUUUACUACCCCCAAUAAAAGUUUACUGAGGGUAGUAAACUUUAGUUUUUCGAAUCUAAAUUGUUCUUCCUUUGUUUUAGUAUGUAUUAUUGCCUUGAAAAUACUAUUUUGCAAGUUUACUACCCCCAGUAAAAGUUUACUAGGGGUAGUAAAUUUUAGUUUUUGCAUCUAAGUUGAUUUUUCUCGGUUUUAAUGUGUACUUAUGGCCUUGGAGAUAGUGUUUUGCAAGCUUACUAACCCCAGUAUAAGUUUACUGGGGGUAAUAAACUUUAUUUUUUCGCAUCUAGGUUGUUCUUCCUCUGUUUUAGUGUAUAUUAUGGCAUUGAAAAUAUUUUUUUGCAAGUUUACUACCUCUAAUAAAAGUUUACUGAGGGUAGUAAAUUUUAGUUUUUCGAAUCUAAAUUGUUCUCCCUCUGUUUUAGUGUGUAUUAUGGUUUUGAAAAUACUGUUUUGCAAGUUUACUACCUCCAGUAAAAGUUUACUAGGGGUAGUAAAUUUUAUUUUUUUCGCAUCUAAGUUGAUUUUUCUCCGUUUUAAUAUGUACUUAUAGCCUUGGAGAUAUUAUUUUGCAAGAUUACUACCCCCAGUAAGAUGUUUACUAGGGGUGGUAAACUUUAUAUUUUUGCAUAUAUGUUGAUUUUUUCUCUCCUUUAAGGUAUAUAAUGGUCAUAGGAAAACUGUAUUGCAAGUUUACUACCCCAGCAGAAGUUUACUAGGGGUAGUGAACUUUAUUUUUCUGCAUCUAAGUUGAUUUUUCACUGUUUUAAGGUGUAUAAUGGUCAUGUAGAAACUUUAUUUUAAGUUUACUACCCCCACUAAAAGUUUACUAGGGGUAGUAAACUUUUUUUUUUCGUACUUGGGUUAAAAUCAUGUAAAUUCCGAUGUCAUUUAAAAAAUCCAGUGAGAUUUCCGGAAAAUUCCGGCCACCGGAUGCCGGUAANNNNNNNNNNNNNNNNNNNNCAUUGAAAUGGGGUUUGACUUUUUCUAUUUGUGCAAAUGGUCUUUUUCCCUUAUGUUAAUUGAUUUGGUGAUUCUUGAAAGGUAAGAAGUCUAGUACGUUUGGUGUAUUAGCUGUGAAAGGAAAGGAUCCUAAUAUGAUUAGGAAUCAUGUGAUUAAGUGUUUGGGUCAAUAUAAAUUGAUUAUAUUAUUGAUAUUAUCUAAUUGAUUUUAUUUGAUCUCAUUGAUAUUAUGAAUCUUGAAUUAAUGGACACUUGUUUUCCUAUUAGGAAACUAAUGAAGACUAGGCUGCGUUGUGGACGCAGAUGCUCAAUAUAUAGACGUGCUCCAGCCAAAGUCGAGACUACCUUUUGCACGUAUUCUUUAGAGACUAUCUUUGCACGCAUAGCGUUUGAGAGAUAGUAAUUUCCGCUGCGAUAAUUUGUAAAGUCACAAGUUCAACUGUUCCUUGUUGAGUUGAACUUGUUGUGUGUGUGAUUGUGAUUCUCUUGUGUGUUGAGAGAAGAUCAUUGAAGAAAGAAAAAGAAGAAGACGUUCUGCCUAGAGAUAUGAUUUGUAAUAGUAUAAGGUUUACAAAGAGGUUGUAAGACUCUACACAAAUUCAUCUAGUUGAGUUCGUUUUCUGAGUUUGUGCUCCGCUGUGAUUUUUCCUCUAUUUUAAGGUUUUUACACAGCGUCAAAAAUCUGUGUUCUUUAUUUUUCGUUUAUGUCUAGUACGCCGAAGAUUGAAACCACUGCUUCACGUUCUAGUAUCUUUAAAAACAAAUAAGUAGAGAUAAAGAGAAUAUACAGCAAAACUUUAUAUAUGCCAGUCAAAACUUGGGAACGUCACCUUUAUUGCAAAGGAAUUCAGAGAUGUUCUGAACAGACACUCAUGCACAGUUGCACACGUAUUAUCUUAAGUUAAAACCAAAGAUAGCCACAGAAAAAGUUCGGUCCAAUGACUCCGAGUCUCCAAUCACACAAACGGAAGAACAUAGCUCGAUUGGUGAAGUAGACAUGUUUAGUCUCGGCAACAAAGUAUUGCAGACCAACAUGAUCUAUAACACCAACAACAAAACAUUGAGGAUAUACAUUUUUGUAAUAUAAGACUAGUUUUGUUUACUGAAGUGGAGAGCAAUCUGAAAAAGGAAACGUAAGAACCAUGAAGUCGUUAGAUUACCACAAACUGUAGCUAAAUUGUUGAAGCAGAGAAGACUUGAAAAAAAAAAGAUGCAGGGAUGUACACAGUACAUAGUCACCAAUGCAAUACUAGCCCUAUAACAUAAAGAAGUGUCUAGCCCUAUGACAUAAAGAAGUGGGUACGUAACUGGAAAAUGCAAUUAUAAAACUAGUAAAAAAACAGGAGAAAAAUUACUGACAAACACUUUUUAUUCAGAUAAAGGCUAUGUAUGGUAUUAAGCAGCAACAUAUAAUCAUCGGACUAGACCAUGUUCCAUACUCAAUCGAAAUCUUGCUACUCUUGUGGACGAAAGGUACAACCUCAUAAAUGCAUCCUCAUAUAGUAUUUACUCCAUUUUUUGUUCUGUAUUAAAAUGAGUGAAUUGAUUAAUCAAAUCUUAAACAUAAUUAAGCAGAGAUGAUGUUUUGAAGAUGGAGGGGGACGAUUACUACAGUAAACGGUUUGUUACCCAACAUGAUUUGCUUAGAGAGCUAGCUAUUUACAAGGCUAUGCUAGACCCGGUCGAUCAAAGAAAAAGAAUCAUGUUAGAAAUUUGUGGAAACAAUUUUCCCAAGUGGUGGAAGGAGCAGAAAUAUCAACCAACCAACGCUCUCGCCUGUUAUCUAUCACAACUGGUACAUAAAUUUCUCUAGAAUUAUGAAUCUACUAACGACUUCAAAAAAAUAAAAAUAAAUAUACUAGAAUUCAUAUUUAAUUUCUCUAGACACUCAUCAAAUAGCAUGUUGAUCACAGAUGGACAAUUCUCAAUGGAAUGGCCGCAGAUUCAAUUACCAGAAGCGGAGGUUCUUGUCUUGGAUUUCGAUAAAAACAGCCCGAAUUUGUGGAGACAAUGGAUAAAUUGAAGGUAGUGGUAAUCGUUGCUCGCGACGAUAUUUGUAAGUUACGAAAUCUAGAACGACCCCAACUGCUACCCAAUCUAAAGAGAAUCAGCUUAUAUAACAUCCCAAUCAAUAGCAUAAGAAGGAAUCCCAUUGAAUUGAAGAGUCUAAAAAAGUUGUCUUUAAGGUCAUGUCACCCAGAGCUAUGUUUCAAGAGAGGAUUUGGUGAAAUGUCAGAUGCGUUAUGAUCUAUAUAGCUUGCCUGAAGAAAUUGAAAAUUUAGUCAACUUGGAAGUAUUGAGAGUAAGGCAAUGUAUUGACGGCUCAGUUAGGAACCUCAAAAAGUUACACGUCCUUGAAAUGGUUGGUUGUUGCGACUUUAAGUUGCCUGAAGACAUUGGUGAACUGAGCAGUUUAAGAAAGUUGGACAUGAGGAAUCGCUACGAAGUGAGGAAGCUACCAACAUGGAUAUUGGAUCUUGAUCAGUUGGAGGAAGUGAUCUGCGAUGAAGAUGGAGCCCUUUUAUGGGAAGCCACUCUAACCACUCUCACAAACCUACGCAUAGUUGCGAUCUCCUUCACCUUGGACACUCUGUUGGACCUAAUAAAAUUAGUUGGAAAACUAUAGAGUUGGUUAUGUAUUAGCCAUUAGGGCUCAUUAAGUGUCUCGAUAUUUUAAUUGAAAUAAUUUCAUGUAAUUAAGCUCGUAGCAACAACCUGCUUUAGCCACGAAGUUCAUGACAGACAUUUUUACUUGAAACACAAAAAACCAGUCUGCACUUCUGAAAAGAACUAUGGAAGGCCUAGUUUCAUAUAUAAUCAUAUUCCAAUCCGCAGAGAGAGCUUCAUUCCUAGAAAGAGAAUCUUAGUACGUAAUUACAGUGCAUCACCGAUAAUCAGGUAAGGAAAAAAAAAAAAAAAACUACGCUGUCUUCUCUCACUUGAGUUCUAUUCAUGCUUCUGUAAAUUGAAGUUCAAUAAUGGUGGAUCGUAGCAAGAGACAAUUACGAGUCGUUGGAGCCAUGACAGUCUUCUACAAAUAGUAUAUUUGUACAUUACGAGAUGGCCACUAUAUUAAUCUUUGUGGAUGUAUCAUUAUACCAUUAAUUAAUUUUAGUUGACAUAUGAAAUUCACCGAAGUACAGUCAAUUACAGCUACCGGUAUGCAUAAUUGCAGCACAUAUUACUAAUCUAACCAUGAGGAUCACACUGUAGGUUUAUUCAUGACAACAUCGAUCAGUUUAUGUCAUCAAUUAAGAAAGAAGAAGAAUUAGGAUAUAAUUGAGUUUUACUUGCGCAUUUUCUGGGCAUCGCUACCUUGACUUGGUGUUUAUAUAUAUAUAUAAAUUAGCUAACUUCCACGAUUAAGCAACGAUCGAUAGCUGUAUAAGCGCCAACGUAAACUUUAUAAUCAACUUUUAAUCACAAGUGGCGUAUUAUCACAUAUAUGGAAACAGUUGGAUUAGUUUUGAGUUUUAAAGCUUAACACAUUAGUAGGCUCGAUCGAUCUGUAUCUGCAGAAUUUAAUAAAAAAAUGACCAUUCGAGUUUCGGACCGGAAGAAAUUAUUCGAGUUCGAUUAUAUCUAUAUAAAUAUGGCUGCAUUCAGCUCGAGCUCUCUCCUCUCUCUUGUUUCUAUUGAAGAGAGCUGGUUAUCAGUCGAGGCAGCUGUGGUAAGUUGUGUUGCUACUGAUGCAUCAACAUCGGAUUGUUCUGCACAUGGACAUUGUUGGUCCCUUUUGCUACAUGGACUAGUGAGAAACUGAAGAUUUGUGUGCAACUUUUAGAGACCAUUAGAAAAGUUCAUAUUACUUCCGAACACAUUGCGCCGAGCAUUCAGGUCAAUUAGUAAUGAACCCUCCUUUCUAAAAUUCACAUGCACAGUCAAAAAAAAAAAAAUCACAUGCACAGUCACAGUAAUCAACCUCCACCUGUCCCAAUCCAACGUACGGCCGCCAUCACAGAGGCUCAUUUUUGUAGAAGAAUCAGAAAUGGAAAAUCACAAACCAAAAGGAAAGAAAAGAGCCUCCAUGGCUCUCCAGGAAAGAGAUCAGCAUAUUAUUUCUUCAAUUAUGGCGUCACUGAAUCUCCUCCUCAUUACUCUUUCUUGAUAGAAAAAUCAUUCACUCUCUCUUAUAUUGCAUCACAGACUCUCUCUCAUUCCCUCUUGGAAUAGUCAUGAAUGCUUCUGUCAACAUCUAUGGGAAAAGAGAGAGAGGUCUCAACAUGAACAGACUCAUGCCUUUCCUCCUCACUUCUUUAGCCGUGGCCUCCAUUUUCAGCUUCUUCCUCGCUUAUUCCCCAAACCCUAUUCCGAUCACAUCCAAAGAAGCCCUUAAUUCUGUUGUUCAUGAUCAGAACCUGCAGCCAGAUCGUGAUCAUCUUAGCCAUGCAGCACCAGUCAGGCUGAUCCCACCUCCAAAAAGUACAAUUGCUUCACAACCUAAUUCUCAUAUAUAAACCUUUGAAUCUUUUCCAGUCUAAAUGAUUUGCAUUCAAUAUAUUUUGAUUCUUGUUUGUAGAGAAAGAGGUGUGUGACUUGUUUAAGGGUCAGUGGGUUCCGGAUUCGAGAGGGCCAUUGUAUACGAAUUCAACAUGUAAGACUAUUCCUGAAUCGAAGGAUUGUUUCAAGAAUGGGAGGAUGGAUAGGGACUAUCUGAAUUGGAGAUGGAAGCCGGAGAAAUGCGAGCUGCCGGAGUUUGAUCCUAAGGCGUUUUUGGAAAUCGUUAGAGGAAAGAAGAUGGCAUUUGUUGGUGACUCUGUUGCUCGCAAUCACUUUGAGUCUCUUCUAUGCCUCUUGUCUCAGGUUAGUCUCAAUUUUCUGAUCAAUGUACAUGAAUAAUUCCGGUUUAUACUCGGAAAUCAAAUCAUAGAGCAUAAAAUUAGGUCCAAACACAACCACAGAUCAUAGGCACAAAACUUGGUAUCUGUUCUAGUUUAUCAUUCAACAAAAUGAUUCAUGAAGUGAAAGCCUACAAACAGAAAACGUAAUACAAAAAAAAUGUAACGUAAAUUUGGUUUUGUUUUCUUGUUUUUUUAUAUAAUGAAACGUAAAUUUUGUUGGGAAAUUUUACUGGCACAAUUGAACUCUAAGAGGUUUUUACACACCAAGGAAAGAAAAGAAAAGAAGGCAUCCAAAUUGUUUGCUAGUCAUUUCUCUUUUGCUACUAUUUAUUUAUAAAUUUUUCUAUGCACGACAUAUAAGUACACUGAGCAAUCUAAGCCAUUCAUAAUAAUUCAUAUGUGUAUGGAUUAUGUUCUUAAUCUUCACUAUCUAUGUAUGUAUGUGUAGGUACACUCCGUGUAUUGUUGUCAAAUUUUAAUAACUUUACAAGUGCACAAAUCGUUUGUAGUAUAACUUAGGCAAAUACGAGAUCGUUCCAACUAGAGAUGUAUAACUAACUUUUAACUCUAACCAAAGUACUCUAAUGACUAACAUGAAAACAAGAAGAUCUUUGUGAUUUUUGUAAACAAGGAGAAGAGAGUAAAACAAGCAGAUUGAGAAUGUGGCACAAGAUAAUUGAGAAGAUGUUUUGAAAAGUUGUAAAACAAUGAUGGAUAGAUGCUAAGGCAAGCAAAUUGAGAAUGUGGCACAAGAUAAUUGAGAAGUUGUUUUGGAAAGUUGUAAACAAUGAUGGAUAGACGCUAGGGCUUCUAAGUUGCUUCACCGUCACAAUCCUAUUUGAGUUCUUAGUCUUCCGAUUACUAACUAUUAAACCAGUGUUAAAGAAUUCGUCAUAUAAGCCUUAUGACAUAGUACUUAUAUGCAUAAGUUCUUCAAAGUAUGAAUACUACCUUAUGGCAGAGUAUAGUAUCUAACUCUUAGAAGUAUGACAUUUACUCUCUAAGGGUUAAUGAAGUUCGAUGAGAAUAAAAAGACUCACACAAACCAAUAAUACAUGACAUCUAUCUUAUCAAUCUAUGGUUUUUAAUCAGAAUAAGCAUUCAAGAUUCAACAUGGGCAUCUACCUACUCUUGCAUCAGAUAGCUUAAAACAAAACCCUAAAGGUCACGAGUCUCUAGUAUUUUGAAAUAAGCAACAAUUCUUAUGGAGAUUAAAAACUCAACACAAUCCAAUAAUCAAGUAAUCAUCGAACUAAAAGCAUCGAAUAGUCAUGCUAAGGAUCAAUUAUGACCCUAACAAACGGUUUAGCUACUAAGAAUCAUAACAAACACAAUGAUCACAAUGAAAAAAAUAACAAAGACUAAAAGGGAAAAGGAUGGAAUAUUGGUGAUGAUGGCAGCCUCCAAGUAUGUCAUGUCCCGAAGCUUCCUUUUGAUUGCCAUGAUUGUCUCUAUUUAUAAGACUCAAUUCUCAAUUUGAAUAAGUAUUCCUUGUUCUUCUUGGACUUGGAUGAUGAUGUGACACUCCAACAUUCUCAAAACAUGGAUUUAGGUCUUCAUGACGUCCAUGAUGCUGCUAGAAUUCCAUUUGAAUCUUCUGCGCACAAUUGACUUCUACACAUGAGCAUGAAGUAAGACAUUGCACAUUCUAGUCCAUCUUGAGCUGCCUUCAUUCAAACUGUUAUAUCUCUCUCCACAAAUAUCAAAAUCACAAACCGUCAAAUUCUAUAGAAACUAGACACUCAGGGCUCUCUGCAUAUAUGGCUUGUUCUCUAACUCCUCUCGGAACAGCACAGUUUAUUCUCCAAAUUUAGUUGUUCUGCAGAGCCUGAUUGCCCAGAAUCGGGAUUGCUAUGCCGCUUUCAAUCAUUUCUGCUCCAGUUUCGCAUCUCUGCUCUUUGAACCUAUAAAACACCAAACUAUGUAAAAUUGAACUAAAUUACUUGAAAGUACAAUACAAAUCCAAGAUUUAAAGGUAUAAAAACAUAACAUAUAAUGGAUACAUCAUAUAUGUACUAAUUAAAGAUGCUCUGCUAUUUAUUAUGCUUAGUUGUUAAUAGUUGUCAUGCAUGUUAAGUUUGGUAUCAAAUUUGCCUAAUCCUUGGUUUCGUGCAAUCUGCAUCAACUAAAUUGGGUUGAUGCAGACGAUCCCUUUCUGUUUGCAUAUUUUGUUUUCUUCUAUUAUGAAAUUCUGUAUUUAUUGACAUCAUUCAAUUUCAAUUUAUGGAGACGGUUGCAAUGUACAUAUAUAGUCCGACAGUCAAACGAAUGACUUAUAGAACAUGCACGCAAUAUAUGCAACAGAAUCGAUGACAUCUUUUGAAGAUUUGGAAUUCACCCUUCAAGUAAUGGAAUUCACAACUGGAUUCCAUUAUCAUCCAAGACUAAGACUAAGACUAAGAUUUAACGAUGCAAAUCAUGCAACUGUUCUUCUAAGUCUAGCAACCCAAUUGAAACAAAAUGCUUGCUUAGGGUGAAUUGAGUCAACUUUCCUCAUAUUGGUGCGCGCGUAUAGAUAAGAUUUAGGGUGGGUGAAUUAUGCACAGCGGUCAAUUUGAUCAGUUAUAUGAGUUGUGAUUUGUGCUUGGUAAGUUUCGUUUGAUGUCAUAAACAUUUCUAAUCUUGCAGGAGGAAUUAUGCACAGCGGUCAAUUUGAUCAGUUAUAUGAGUUGUGAUUUGUGCUUGGUAAGUUUCGUUUGAUGUCAUAAACAUUUCUAAUCUUGCAGGAGGAACUCCCCAAAGACAUUUACAAGGAUUCUGAAGAUCGUUUCAGGACAUGGUACUUUCCUCAACAUGACUUCACUCUAAUGAAAUUGUGGACCAAAUAUCUUAUAGCCGCAGACGAGAGGAUGGAUAAUGUCACUGGAUCAGGCGUCUUCGAUUUGAGCAUAGACAAAAUCGAUGAUGAAUGGGGAAAGCACCUACCCGAUUUAGACUACGUCAUCAUCUCGGACGGGCAUUGGUUUUUUCGAGUAUUAUACCUGUAUAAAGGGAACAAACUUAUAGGAUGUGUCUAUUGCAACCAACCUAAUAUUACCGGCUUCAACACUGGCAACGCAGUUCGUAUGGCGUUUCGAUCUGCCUUUAAGUACAUUAGCACUUGCAAGAACUGCAAAGUUGGUCUUCUGACCAUUUUGAGGACAUUUGCACCAGCACAUUUUGAGAAUGGGGCU
rnacentral:lncRNA from 1 species